GGAGUAAAAGUCGUAACAAGGUUUCCGUAGGUGAACCUGCGGAAGGAUCAUUACAGAGUUCAUGCCCUCACGGGUAGAUCUCCCACCCUUGAAUAUUUAUACCUUAGUUGCUUUGGCAGGCCGUGGAAACACCAUGGGCUCCGGCUUAUGCGUGCCUGCCAGAGGAAACAAACUCUGUUUUUAGUGAUGUCUGAGUACUAUAUAAUAGUUAAAACUUUCAACAACGGAUCUCUUGGUUCUG
rnacentral:misc_RNA from 1 species